GACAGAUGUGGCAUUUAAAGCAUCAAAGAACAUUGAUUGGGAUGGGAUGGGGAAGCUUCUCGUCUCCGACGAGGCUCGCAAGGAGUUUGCCUCCCUUCGUCGUGCUUUCGAUGAGGUUAAUUCCGCUCUACAGACCAAGUUCAGUCAGGAACCUGAACCUGUUGACUGGGAAUAUUAUAGAAAAGGAAUUGGCUCACGCAUAGUGGAUGUGUAUAAAGAGGCUUAUGACAACAUAGAGAUCCCCAAGUAUGUGGACACCGUUACUCCACAGUACAAGCCUAAAUUUGAUUCAUUGUUGGUGGAAUUGAAAGAAGCUGAAGAGAAAUCCCUGAAGGAAUCAGAGCGUUUGGAGAAAGAAAUUGCAGAAGUUCAAGAGUUAAAGAAAAAGCUCAGCACCAUGACUGCUGAUGAGUACUUUGAGAAGCACCCUGAGCUCAAGAAGAAGUUUGAUGAUGAAAUCCGGAAUGACUACUGGGGCUAUUGACCAUAUUGGCAAUUUAUGGCAGCAAAUGAAACCUCUGCCCAAAAAAUUAUGAACUCAGCAUGUUACUGUUCUUUUGGCAAUAACAGUUACCAACAAAUUAUUUCCUUGUAAUCUGGUCGCUCACAGUUCGUAGAAUUUGAGCUUCUAUGAUGUCAAUGGAAAACGCUGAGAGUUCCAUCUCACAAGCAGAAUCAAAUUUACAGGAUGAUGCUUUGUUCA
rnacentral:misc_RNA from 1 species